AACGAACGCUGGCGGCAUGCCUAACACAUGCAAGUCGAACGAGACCUUCGGGUCUAGUGGCGCACGGGUGCGUAACGCGUGGGAAUCUGCCCUUGGGUUCGGAAUAACAGUUGGAAACGACUGCUAAUACCGGAUGAUGACGUAAGUCCAAAGAUUUAUCGCCCAAGGAUGAGCCCGCGUAGGAUUAGCUAGUUGGUGAGGUAAAGGCUCACCAAGGCGACGAUCCUUAGCUGGUCUGAGAGGAUGAUCAGCCACACUGGGACUGAGACACGGCCCAGACUCCUACGGGAGGCAGCAGUGGGGAAUAUUGGACAAUGGGCGAAAGCCUGAUCCAGCAAUGCCGCGUGAGUGAUGAAGGCCUUAGGGUUGUAAAGCUCUUUUACCCGGGAUGAUAAUGACAGUACCGGAAGAAUAAGCGCCGGCUAACUCCGUG
rnacentral:rRNA from 1 species